rfam:Macaca mulatta chromosome 9, whole genome shotgun sequence.
UUUUAAAUAUAAGUAUGUACCAUACAAUAUUUGGGACAUAAUUAUACUAAAC